rnacentral:lncRNA from 1 species
AGGUGGCUGGGAGUGCCGUGUGACCCUGCCCUGGGGGAGGCCUCAGGCCAGGGACCUGCAAAGCCAGCACCCAACCAAGUCGCCUAGAGCUUUACUAACGCUGAGGCAGCAGGUGCCAGGUCGCUACCCACCCUGGCCUGGGAAGACCAGCCCUGCCCGCUUCACCAGACUCCAGGAGCCACUGUGCCCGGGACAAGGCUGCAUGUCCCACUCAGUGCCAAUUUUCAGGGCACUAGGAGAAGGGACUAGCCUAGCCCUCGGGCCAUGCCUGCCAGCACAGCCUGCAUAGCCACCCACCCCUGCCUCUCCAGGCCUCCCAGGAGACAGAGCCACAGGUGACAGCUCAACCCUGGGGAGCUGCCACUGACCUUGGAGGGAGGAACGGAGGAGGGAGGAA